AGUGAACGCUGGCGGUAGGCCUAACACAUGCAAGUCGAACGGCAGCACAGUAAGAGCUUGCUCUUACGGGUGGCGAGUGGCGGACGGGUGAGGAAUACAUCGGAAUCUACUUUUUCGUGGGGGAUAACGUAGGGAAACUUACGCUAAUACCGCAUACGACCUACGGGUGAAAGCAGGGGAUCUUCGGACCUUGCGCGAUUGAAUGAGCCGAUGUCGGAUUAGCUAGUUGGCGGGGUAAAGGCCCACCAAGGCGACGAUCCGUAGCUGGUCUGAGAGGAUGAUCAGCCACACUGGAACUGAGACACGGUCCAGACUCCUACGGGAGGCGGCAGUGGGGAAUAUUGGACAAUGGGCGCAAGCCUGAUCCAGCCAUACCGCGUGGGUGAAGAAGGCCUUCGGGUUGUAAAGCCCUUUUGUUGGGAAAGAAAAGCAGCAGGUUAAUACCCCGCUGUUCUGACGGUACCCAAAGAAUAAGCACCGGCUAACUUCGU
rnacentral:rRNA from 1 species